rnacentral:lncRNA from 1 species
UUACACAACAUAUCCAUCACAAUUUUCAGCAUUCGACAAUCCCAAUUAGGGUCAAUUCAACGGUUUAUCACUACCCAUUACAUGCUAACCCAUAAUACCCAUUAAACGACGAUAACCCCCCUUACCUGAGUUAAUCCGGCAAUCUCUAAGCUCCAAGCUCUUCUCUUCUCCAAUCUUCUUCCUCUUGCUCUGCCUCUUUGCCCU